rnacentral:rRNA from 1 species
CCCUUGAUCUUAGUUGCCAGCAUUCAGUUGGGCACUCUAAGGUGACUGCCGGUGACAAACCGGAGGAAGGUGGGGAUGACGUCAAAUCAUCAUGCCCCUUAUGACCUGGGCUACACACGUGCUACAAUGGACAGAACAAAGGGCAGCGAAACCGCGAGGUUAAGCCAAUCCCACAAAUCUGUUCUCAGUUCGGAUCGCAGUCUGCAACUCGACUGCGUGAAGCUGGAAUCGCUAGUAAUCGCGGAUCAGCAUGCCGCGGUGAAUACGUUC